AUCACCAUCUUCAACACAAAAGGAAAAAAAUCAAACCCUUCUUUGCCUUCCCAAAACCUUCAAAAACCCAUACCUCAUCCCGUUGUUCUUUACCUUCGAUCUUCAAAGAUAACGCAACUCUACUCAUCUUCUCCAUCUGAUUUCGCUCCUGCUCCUUCAACAAACGCAAUCCUUCGCUUGAAUUGUUUUUGAAAAAUAACGAACUAAAGCUAAUCAGAAGGAGCCGAAAACUUCGUUCCUUGACUUGAAUUCUGCCGAUUUGUGGAAGAUUGAGUGAGUUUUGGUCUUGUUGAUUGAACAUCAAAUCCAAGUCGAAAACAAAGUGUUGAAUCUGAAAUUUUCUUCGUUUCUUGCUGCUGCAAACAGAAGGAGGCGACAUUAUCGAGGAGCCCUUCUAGUGAUCGCGGAGUACCAAACAUAGCCUCUUGAAGCGUUCUUUUUGCUUGCCUACAGAUCGGGACCAGUCGGGAAUAACGGAUUAGCGGAGGAGAAUAGAGAUUCCAAGGAUGUAAAUUGAGCUGAGCAUUUAGGAAUUAUAGAUUUGUAUUAGGAAUUUUGGAUAAAUGUAAAUUUGAUUUGGCUGUGUUGGUUAUUUCGGACCUGUAGAGAAUUGUAUAAUUACCCUUGCUUUAGUUAGAUGUUUGUUUUGGAAAUAUAGCUGAGUUAGUUACGUUAAA